rnacentral:rRNA from 1 species
CCUACGGGAGGCAGCAGUGGGGAAUUUUGGACAAUGGGCGAAAGCCUGAUCCAGCAAUGCCGCGUGCAGGACGAAGGCCUUCGGGUUGUAAACUGCUUUUGUACGGAACGAAACGGUCUCUUUUAAUACAGGGGGCUAAUGACGGUACCGUAAGAAUAAGCACCGGCUAACUACGUGCCAGCAGCCGCGGUAAUACGUAGGGUGCAAGCGUUAAUCGGAAUUACUGGGCGUAAAGCGUGCGCAGGCGGUUAUAUAAGACAGAUGUGAAAUCCCCGGGCUCAACCUGGGACCUGCAUUUGUGACUGUAUAGCUAGAGUACGGUAGAGGGGGAUGGAAUUCCGGCGUGUAGCAGUGAAAUGCGUAGAUAUGCGGAGGAACACCGAUGGCGAAGGCAAUCCCCUGGACCUGUACUGACGCUCAUGCACGAAAGCGUGGGGAGCAAACAGGAUUAGAUACCCUGGUAGUCCACGCCCUAAACGAUGUCAACUGGUUGUUGGGUCUUCACUGACUCAGUAACGAAGCUAACGCGUGAAGUUGACCGCCUGGGGAGUACGGCCGCAAGGUUGAAACGUUAAAGGAAUUGACGG